GACGAACGCUGGCGGCGUGCCUAAUACAUGCAAGUUGAGCGCUGAAGGUUGGUACUUGUACCGACUGGAUGAGCAGCGAACGGGUGAGUAACGCGUGGGGAAUCUGCCUUUGAGCGGGGGACAACAUUUGGAAACGAAUGCUAAUACCGCAUAAAAACUUUAAACACAAGUUUUAAGUUUGAAAGAUGCAAUUGCAUCACUCAAAGAUGAUCCCGCGUUGUAUUAGCUAGUUGGUGAGGUAAAGGCUCACCAAGGCGAGGAUACAUAGCCGACCUGAGAGGGUGCGCGGCCACAUUGGGACUGAGACACGGCCCAAACUCCUACGGGAGGCAGCAGUAGGGAAUCUUCGGCAAUGGACGAAAGUCUGACCGAGCAACGCCGCGUGAGUGAAGAAGGGUUUCGGAUCGGAAAACUCUGUUGGUAGAGAAGAACGUUGGUGAGAGUGGAAAGCUCAUCAAGUGACGGUAACUACCCAGAAAGGGACGGCUAACUACGUG
rnacentral:rRNA from 1 species